rnacentral:lncRNA from 1 species
CGUGCCAAGACCAGUCUCGGGAGAGCUGUGGUGGCUGUGCGAUUGUUCCCCUGCACUACCAGGAAAACUCUUCUAAGAAGCUUCAAUGUCACCUCCAACUUGAAGUCCUCCUUCCUCUGCCCAGAACCAUUACACUAUGGAGCCAGAAGUUAAAAAGAAUUUAACUGAAGACCAAAACAUGCUCAGUAGCAAAUGCCUCUUUUAUAAAUAAUUUCUGUUCCCAAUUCUAACUUGGAAAUUAAACAAUACACUCCUGAACAACCAAGGGAUCAAAGAAGAUAUCCAAAAGUAUCUUGAGAGUAGUGAAAAUGGAAACACACAUAACUAAAUGUGUGGACUUCAACAAAAGUGGUCCUAAGAGGGAAGUUUAUAGUAAUAAGUACCAAUAUUAAGAAAAAACAAAGGUCUCAAAUAAACAACCUAACUGUAUACCUCAAGGAAGUAGAAAAAAAGAACAAACUGAGCCCAAUGUUAACAGAAGGAACUAAAGAUUACUUCUGAAUACAUAAAACAGAGACUAGAAAGACAAUAUAAAAAAUCAACAAAACUAAGAGAUCUUUUUAAAAAAGGAUAAAAUUAACAAUUAUCUGGGCUAUCUAAGAAAAAAUAAAGAGAAAACUCAAAUAAAUAAAAUUAUAAAUGAAAAAGAAGACAUUAAAAGUGAUACCACAGAAAUUCAAAGAAUGUAUUUUAUGUCAACAAAUUGGAUAAUCUGGAAUAAGUGGAUAAAUCCCUAAAAACAUACAACCUACCAUGAAGGAAUAGAAAAUCUAAACAGUCCAAUAAUGAGUAAGGAGACUGAGUGAGUAAUGAAAAACUUCCCAAUAAAGAAAAGCUCAAGACCAGAUGGUUUCAUAGGUGAAUUCCAACAAACAUUUAAAGAGGAACUAAAACCAAUCCUACUCAAACUCUUCCAAAAAAAAAAAAAAGAUGAAGAGGAGAGAAAACUUCCUAAUUCAUUUUAUGAAGUCAGCAUCACCCUCAUACAAAAGCCAGACAAGGAUAAUACAAGAAAGGAAAACUAUAGGAAAAUAUCCCAGAUAAACAUAAAUGGGAAAAUGUAAUAAAAUAAAUAUAGCAAACUGAAUUCAACAGCAUAUUUAAAAAAUCAUUAAUCGUGAUGAAGUGGGAUUUACCCCUGGGAUGCAAUGAUGGUUUAACAUAUGCAAAUCAGUAAAUAUGAUAUACUACAUUAACAAAAUUUAGAAGAAAAACUAUAUGAUCAUCUCAACGGAUGCAGCAAAAGCAUUUGACAAAAUUCAGCAUCCUUUCAUGAUUAAAAAAGACUCUCAAGAAAUUAACUAUAAAAGAAAUGUAAUUCAACACAAUGAAGACCAUAUAUAACAAGCCCACAGCUAACAUUAUACUCAAUUGUGAAAAGCUGAAAGCUUUUUCUCUAAGAUAAGGAGUAAGACAAGAGUGCCCACUCUGGCCACUUCUAUUCAGCACAAUACUAGAAAUCCUAGCCAGCGCAAUUAGAAAAAUAAAAAUAAGGACAUCCCAUUCAGAAAGAAAGAAGUUAAAUUGUCUCUGUUUACAGAGGUAUGACUUUAUAUACAGAAAGCUCUAAAAACGCCAUCAAAACAGUUAAAACUGAUAAACAAAUUCAGUAAAGUUUCAGAAUACAAAGUCAACAUACAAAGAUCAGUAGCAUUCCUAUACAUUGACAACAAACUAGCCAACCCCUGCCCCCGCCAACAACAACAAAAAAAAACAAAACUGAGAGGCCAGGCACAGUGGCUCAUGCUCCCAGCAGUCUGGGAGGUCGAGGCAGGCAGAUCACCUAAGCUCAGGAGUUUGAGACCAGCCUGGCCAACAUGGUGAAACUUGCCUCUACUUAAAACACAAAAAAAAUUAGCCAGACAUGGUGGUGGGUGUCUGUAGUCCCAGCUACUUUGGGAGGCUGAGGCAGGAGAAUCACUUGAAGCCAGGAGGCAGAGGCUACAGUGAGCCGAGAUCGUGCCACUGCACUCCAGCCUGGGUGGCAGAGUGAAACUCCAUCUCAAAAAAAAAAAAAAAAAAAAAGAAAGAAAGAAAGAAACAGAAGAUUCCAUUUACAAUCCCAUAAAAAUAUUAAAAUACAGUCAUAUGGUGCUUAAUGACACGGAUAUGUUCUGAGAAAUGUCUUAAGUGAUUUUGUCAUCGUGCAAACAUCAUGGAGUGUACUUAGACAAACCUUAAUAGUACAACCUGCUACACACCUAGGCUAUAUGGUAUAGCCUAUUGCCCCUAGGAUACAAAACCAAACAGCAUGUUACUGUACUGAAUACUAUAGGCAGUUGUAACACAAUGUGUAUCUAAUAGAAAAGUUAAUGUGCUGCACUGCAACGCUAAGGCAGCUAAGACAUCACUAGCGAUAGGAAAUUGUAUAUGUGGUCCAACAUUAAUUGAAACAUUGUUAUACAGCACAUGACUUUACUUAAGAAUAAAUGUAACCAAGGAAGGAAAAGUUCUAUACACUAAAAACUACAAGACAUUGAGAAAGAAAUUGAAGACAUAAACAAAUAGAUGUCUCAUGUUCAUGGAUUGGAAGAAUUAAUAUUGUUAAAAUGCCCAUGCUAACCAAAUUGAUCUACAGAUUCAAUCCAAUUCCUAUCAAAAUUCCAAUGGCAUUAUUCACAGAAAUAAAACAAACAAUUCUAAAAUUCAUAGGGCUCCAUAAAAGACCACAAAUAUCCAAAGCAAUCUGGAGAAAAAAGAAUAAAGCUAGAGGCAUCACACUUCCUGACUUCAAACUAUAUUAAAAGUAAAUAAUUAAAGCUAUAGUGAUCAAAACAGCAUGGGACUGGCAUAAACACAGACACAUAGACCAAUGAAACUGAAUAGAAAAACCAGAAAUAAACCCAUGCAUCUACAGCCAAUCUUUGGCAAGGAUGGUAAGAGUUCACAAUAGGGAAAGCUUAGGCUCUUCAAUAAAUGGUGUUGAGAAAACUGCACAUCCUCAUGCAAAAGAAUGAAAUUGGACACUUAUCUUAUACCAUAUAUGAAACUUGAAGUGGAUUAAAGACAAAUGUAAGAUCUGAAACUGUAAAUCUCCCAAAAGAAAACACAGAGGGAAAGCUCCUUGGCAUUGGCCUUGGCAAUAAUGUUACGGAUAUGAUCGAUACCAAAAGCACAGACAACAAAAACAAAAAUAAAAAGGUGGGACUACAUCAAACUGAAAAGCUUCUGCACAAAAAAGGAAACAAUCAACAAAAUUAAAAGGCAACCGACAGAGAAGAAGAUAUUUGUAAAUCAUGUAUCUGAUAAGGAGUUGAUAUUGCAAGAUACAUAUACAAGAAACUCAUAAAUCUCAAUAGAAACAACAACAACAAAAUAACGUGAUUGAAAAAUGGGCAAAGAACCUGAAUAAAUAUUUUCCAAAGAGCACAUACAAAUGGCCAAUAUGUAUUUUAAAAAGUGCUCAACAUCAUUAAUCUUCAAGAAAAUUCAAAUCAAAACUGCAGUGAGAUAUUACCUCACACCUGUUAAAAUGGCUUAAAAAAUAAGAAGUGUUGAUGAGGAUGUGGAGAAAAGGGAACUCUUGUACACGGUUGCUGGGAAUGUAAAUUUAUACAGCCAUUAUUGAAAACGGUAUGAAGAUUCCUCAAAAAAUUAGAGAUAGAACUACCAUACAAUCCAGGCAAUCCACUUUGGGGUACAUAUUCAAAGGAAACAAAAUUAGUAUCUCAAAUAUCUGCACCCUCAUGUUCAUUGCAGCAUUAUUCACAAUAGCAAGAUAUGGAAACAAGCUAAGUGUCUGUUGAUGAAUGAUACAUACACACACACACACACACACACACACACACACACACAAAUGGAAUAUUAUUCAGCCUUUACAAAGAAGAAAAUUCUGUCAUUUGUGACAACAUAAAUGAACGCAAAGGGCACUGUGUUAAGUGAAAUAAGCUGGGCACAGAAAGACAAAUACCAUGUAAUCGCACUAACAUUCUACUCUCAAAUUCUAUGAGUUCAACUUACUUAAAAAGUAAGGGGCUGGUAGGUGGGAGUGGGGAUGCACAGGUACUGGUUAAAGGAUGCAAAAUUUUAGUUAGAUAAGAGGAGUAAGUUCAAGAGCUGUAUUGUACAACAUGGUGACAAUAGUUAAUAACAAUGUUUUGGAUUUUUGAAAAUUGCUGAGAGUAAAUUUUAAGGGUUUUUACCACAGAAAAAGUAUGUGAGGUAAUAGUAUACAUGGGCUAAUUAGCUUGAUUUAGCCAUUCUACAAUGUAUACAUAUUUCAAAAUAUCAUGUUGUACACCAUAGACAUAUACAAUUUUCAUCAAUUACAAAGUAAUUAAUUUAAAAAAUAAAUUAAAUUAAAUGUUUACACAUAAAAAAAAAAAUGCCUUAUGAUUAGCCAGCUUCCCUGAGAUGGUUUUUUGUGAAUAAGUAUUUUUAUUUUUAAAAUCCUGCUUUUAAAAAAACUAUUGUCAUUCAGAUUUGCUGUGUUGUGGUAGCUGCAGUGUUUAAAUUUGCCCUGUGGUUUGGCCAGAGAAGCCAAUGGACCACCCGGCCCCUGUGCUCCAUACCCAUGACCCUCAGGCAAGACGGGCUCCGGCUGAGGACCCAGAAGGUCUUUCCAGCUCUUUUCUGAGUGGCCUUAUCUGACAUUUUUCCUGAGCCUAGGGAGGGGCAUGAGAAUCAGGAGACCCGGGUACUUGGGUAUUGUUAGCUCCCUGGCUUACCCUCCGGUCUCUCACCCACUCCUUCCCAUCCCCCA